AUGCUCGGCGAGUACUGCGCCGACCUCUCGGACAUGCACAAGGCGCGCCACUACUACCGCGUCACCUCGCUCUCGGAGGAGGAGAAACUCUACCUCCACCAAAUCGACGACUUCGCCACCGCCACCAUCGCCGAGUACGAGGCCAGCGUCGGCCCCGUCCCCGCCUUCGACAACCACCUCAGCCUGUUCAGCCAAGAAAUCCCACUGGAGUUCCCCGAACCCUUGGCUCCCCCUCCCGCUUCUUCGUCUUCGGCGUCGGUUCGGCUUCUCACCACGAGCCUGCUGUGGACAAUGGAGGGGAUGUUGCAUGCUAAGAGAUGA
rnacentral:rRNA from 1 species